rnacentral:rRNA from 1 species
UACGAAGGGGGCUAGCGUUGCUCGGAAUUACUGGGCGUAAAGGGUGCGUAGGCGGGUCUUUAAGUCAGGGGUGAAAUCCUGGAGCUCAACUCCAGAACUGCCUUUGAUACUGAAGAUCUUGAGUUCAGGAGAGGUGAGUGGAACUGCGAGUGUAGAGGUGAAAUUCGUAGAUAUUCGCAAGAACACCAGUGGCGAAGGCGGCUCACUGGCCCGAUACUGACGCUGAGGCACGAAAGCGUGGGGAGCAAACAGG